rnacentral:rRNA from 1 species
CCUACGGGAGGCAGCAGUGGGGGAUAUUGCGCAAUGGGGGAAACCCUGACGCAGCGACGCCGCGUGGAGGAUGAAGGUCUUCGGGUUGUAAACUCCUUUUCUUAGGGAAAAUGAUGAUGGUACCUAAGGAAUAAGCCACGGCUAACUCUGUGCCAGCAGCCGCGGUAAGACAGAGGUGGCGAGCGUUGUUCGGAUUUAUUGGGCGUAAAGCGAACGCAGGUGGUUUGGUAAGUCAGAGGUGAAAUUCCGCAGCUUAACUGCGGGACUGCCUUUGAUACUGCCUUUCUAGAGUGCAUGAGGGGGAAGCGGAAUUCCGAGUGUAGAGGUGAAAUUCGUAGAUAUUCGGAGGAACACCGGUGGCGAAGGCGGCUUCCUGGCAUGUAACUGACACUCAUGUUCGAAAGCGUGGGGAGCAAACAGGAUUAGAUACCCUGGUAGUCCACGCCCUAAACGAUGGGCACUAGGUGUGGGAGGUAUCGACCCCUUCCGUGCCGCAGCUAACGCAUUAAGUGCCCCGCCUGGGGAGUACGGCCGCAAGGUUGAAACUUAAAGGAAUUGACGG